CAAAAUAGAAAGAAUUGAUGAUUAUGUCAAUUCAUAUUUUCACCAGUCAAAAUUCCACAAAAGUCUUCCCAGAAGCCAUCUUCCUCUGGAACGUCUCAUUCUUCCCUCCCAAUAGAAGGAAGAUCAAAGGCCGAGUUACAGGAAAUUGCCCGGCAAUUAAUUACACUCAUAGUCAAUAGUAAAAGUUGUUUCGUUGUUUCCCAACAAGGUCAAAUCACGCAGUAAAAGCAAAAGCCUUCGCGUGCUUCAAC
rnacentral:lncRNA from 1 species